GAUGAACGCUGGCGGCGUGCUUAACACAUGCAAGUCGAACGGAAAGGCCGUGGCUUGCUUCGGUACUCGAGUGGCGAACGGGUGAGUAACACGUGGGUGAUCUGCCCUGUACUUCGGGAUAAGCUUGGGAAACUGGGUCUAAUACCGGAUAUGACCUUCUCUCGGAUGGUGUUGGUGGAAGCUUUUGCGGUAGGGGAUGGGCUCGCGGCUUAUCAGCGUGUUGGGGGGGUGGUGGCCUACCAAGGCGGCGUCGGGUAGCCGGCCUGAGGGGGUGUGGCGACACUGUGGGUGAGAUACGGAGCAGAGACCUACGGGGGGGAGAAGAGGGGAAUAUAGUACAAUGGGGGCGAGACCGAGGUGGAGAAGCGCCGUGGGGGAGGUGGGGGCCUGGGGGGUAUACUCCGCUUUCGCCCGUGAAGGAGUGUGGGUGACGGUAGGGGGUGAAGAAGCACCGGCUAACUACGUG
rnacentral:rRNA from 1 species